rnacentral:rRNA from 1 species
GAUGAACGCUGGCGGCGUGCCUAAUACAUGCAAGUCGAGCGAACGGACGAGAAGCUUGCUUCUCUGAUGUUAGCGGCGGACGGGUGAGUAACACGUGGAUAACCUACCUAUAAGACUGGGAUAACUUCGGGAAACCGGAGCUAAUACCGGAUAAUAUUUUGAACCGCAUGGUUCAAAAGUAAAAGACGGUCUUGCUGUCACUUAUAGAUGGAUCCGCGCUGCAUUAGCUAGUUGGUAAGGUAACGGCUUACCAAGGCAACGAUGCAUAGCCGACCUGAGAGGGUGAUAGGCGACACUGGAACUGAGACACGGUCCAGGGUCCUGCGGUAGGCAGCAGUAGGGAAUCGGCCGCAAUGGGCGAAAGCCUGACGGAGCAACGCGGCGUGAGUGAUGAAGGUCUUCGGAUCGUAAAACUCUGUUAUGAGGGAAGAACAUAUGUGUAAGUAACUGUGCACAGCGUGACGGUACCUAAUCAGAAAGCCACGGCUAACUACGUG